rnacentral:rRNA from 1 species
UACGGGGGGGGCAAGCGUUGUUCGGAAUUACUGGGCGUAAAGGGCGCGUAGGCGGCCGACUAAGUCAGACGUGAAAUCCCCAGGCUCAACUUGGGAACUGCGUCUGAUACUGGACGGCUAGAAUCCGGGAGAGGGAUGUGGAAUUCCAGGUGUAGCGGUGAAAUGCGUAGAUAUCUGGAGGAACACCGGUGGCGAAGGCGGCAUCCUGGACCGGUAUUGACGCUGAGGCGCGAAAGCCAGGGGAGCAAACGGG